rnacentral:tRNA from 1 species
CCGUAGCUCAGCGGUUAGAGCAGCGGACUCAUAAUCCGUCGGUCGGUGGUUCGAAUCCACCCGGGC